rnacentral:rRNA from 1 species
GAAUGCUGACAUAAGUAACGAUAAAGCGGGUGAAAAGCCCGCUCGCCGGAAGACCAAGGGUUCCUGUCCAACGUUAAUCGGGGCAGGGUGAGUCGACCCCUAAGGCGAGGCCGAAAGGCGUAGUCGAUGGGAAACGGGUUAAUAUUCCCGUACUUGGUGUUACUGCGAAGGGGGGACGGAGAAGGCUAUGUUGGCCGGGCGACGGUUGUCCCGGUUUAAGCGUGUAGGCUGACUUUCCAGGCAAAUCCGGAGAGUCAAGGCUGAGGCGUGAUGACGAGGCACCACGGUGCUGAAGCAACAAAUGCCCUGCUUCCAGGAAAAGUCUCUAAGCAUCAGGUAACAUCAAAUCGUACCCCAAACCGACACAGGUGGUCAGGUAGAGAAUACCAAGGCGCUUGAGAGAACUCGGGUGAAGGAACUAGGCAAAAUGGUGCCGUAACUUCGGGAGAAGGCACGCUGACACGUAGGUGAAGUGGUUUACCCAUGGAGCUGAAGUCAGUCGAAGAUACCAGCUGGCUGCAACUGUUUAUUAAAAACACAGCACUGUGCAAACACGAAAGUGGACGUAUACGGUGUGACGCCUGCCCGGUGCCGGAAGGUUAAUUGAUGGGGUCAGCGCAAGCGAAGCUCCUGAUCGAAGCCCCGGUAAACGGCGGCCGUAACUAUAACGGUCCUAAGGUAGCGAAAUUCCUUGUCGGGUAAGUUCCGACCUGCACGAAUGGCGUAAUGAUGGCCAGGCUGUCUCCACCCGAGACUCAGUGAAAUUGAACUCGCUGUGAAGAUGCAGUGUACCCGCGGCAAGACGGAAAGACCCCGUGAACCUUUACUAUAGCUUGACACUGAACAUUGAGCCUUGAUGUGUAGGAUAGGUGGGAGGCUUUGAAGCGUGGACGCCAGUCUGCGUGGAGCCAACCUUGAAAUACCACCCUUUAAUGUUUGAUGUUCUAACGUGGACCCGUAAUCCGGGUUGCGGACAGUGUCUGGUGGGUAGUUUGACUGGGGCGGUCUCCUCCUAAAGAGUAACGGAGGAGCACGAAGGUUGGCUAAUCCUGGUCGGACAUCAGGAGGUUAGUGCAAUGGCAUAAGCCAGCUUGACUGCGAGCGUGACGGCGCGAGCAGGUGCGAAAGCAGGUCAUAGUGAUCCGGUGGUUCUGAAUGGAAGGGCCAUCGCUCAACGGAUAAAAGGUACUCCGGGGAUAACAGGCUGAUACCGCCCAAGAGUUCAUAUCGACGGCGGUGUUUGGCACCUCGAUGUCGGCUCAUCACAUCCUGGGGCUGAAGUAGGUCCCAAGGGUAUGGCUGUUCGCCAUUUAAAGUGGUACGCGAGCUGGGUUUAGAACGUCGUGAGACAGUUCGGUCC